rnacentral:misc_RNA from 1 species
GCAACAUCAAAUCCAGAUUUUGCUCUGUGAUUUGGACUUUGAAGGCUCUGCUGACUGUUAAAGUCAGCUCCUUUUAAAUGCAUUAGCAGGUUGCAAGCAACUGGCCCCAGUUUGAUAGACUUUAAUCAUCUGUGCUGUCGCUAGUAGUUUUGACCGCUGCGAAUUGUCUUUGGACUUGCCAUCAGGCAAUACAUUUAAG